GUUCCCUUCGGUCCAGUCGCGUAGAGUUGGUCGACGACUACAUUUUUUGAAUUGACUGUAUACAAAUACAAAUACACGAAUACCAAAAACGCCUAAGGUCUUAGAAAGRUACCAACUGCGGCUUUCGCGUCGGAAACCACUGCCCGCACAUUAAAUAAAUGAAACAAGUUAAACUAGCGUCACUAUUUUGGUAUGCAUGCUAUCAUACACACUCCUAAAUAUCCUAAAUAAGCCCUUUUCUUAUUCGGUAAAUACCGCUGUGUUUUAUGACUAAGAAAUGCAUAUCUGCACAGGCUUAGCCUCGCUUAAGAGUAAAUCAUUUGCAAAUGUCAACUUUAAUGUAAAGAAUUUGUAGCUUGAACAAUACCAAUGUUUUGAAAUGCCACGGACUUUUAAUGGUAUCUGUGAAUAGAUGAGUUAUACCCAAGUCCAUAGUAAAUGGAGUGGAAUGGUUUGGAAACUCCAUAGAACAAAGCUAUUGUUUUGCGUUUGAUGUUGAACCGUACCAUCACGUGAUACUGAGGGUGUGACAAUGAACCAAAGGUUAAAAACUUUUAUAUUCCCGAAUACUAUGAACAAAUGGAGAAACUUUUCCUUUUCACUGUGCACCGUCAACGUCAUAUAACAAUGGAUAAAGUCGAACAAAAACCUAGAACAAUGGGUUUCCCAACCAUUCCGCUCCAUUAACUAUGCCAAGUCUAAACCUGUGCAAAUGAGUCUGUGUUCUUCAAAAACAGCGGYUUGCAUCGAAUACGAAACAGCUGGUGCAUUGUGAAACAUGAACAAGUCAGAGAAAACAAGUAAAAAGAUCUUAUUUCAAAGCCGA